ensembl:lncRNA
GUUUUGAAAUCAAAGAGUGUGAUACCUUCAACUUGGUUCUUCUUGCUCAAAAUUGCUUAGAUUAUUCAGGAUCUCUUGCUGUUCUAUGCAUAUUUUAGUAUUGGGUUGAUUUAUUUUUUUGUUAAAAAGAAAGGCCAUUCGGAUUUUGAUAGAAAUUGCAUUGUAUCUGCAGAUCACUGUGAAUAAUAUGGACAUCUGUGUGUGCAUGCUAAGUUGCUUCAGCAGUGUUCAACUCUUUGUGACCCUAUAUGGCUUAAAGCCUGCCAGGCUCCUCUGUCCAUGGAGAUUCUUCAGGGCAUCUUCCCAACCCAGGGAUCAAACCCAUGUCUCCUGCGUCUCCUACAUUGGUAAGCAGAUUCUUUAUCAUUGAGCCCUGGGAAGCCCAAUUAUCUGUGUAUAUAAAUUCAAUUUAGAGCAUUUUGUGUGGUUGAGAUGGGAGCAAUGCAACUGGGAAAGAUUGUCAGGAAUUAUUUAGAGCAGAGGCCAGCCUUGGCAGGGAGGAAUGCUGAAAUUAUGAGGUGUGUCUCCCAAGGGCAUCAUAUGGAAAUUGUCAGCAUAUAUGCCAUCAACUUAUCAUCAUGCUAUAGACGGAAGUCUUUAUUAAAGGCAAUAACAGAACUUGAAUGCAAUAAAAAAAGAAAUAAUAUACAGUCACAUAGUAGAUGAGAACUAAAAAUAAAGGAAACCUAUAUUCUUUAAGCUUGCUGGAGUCUACUAAGGUGAAAAAUAUCACUUUUAUUAGUCUCUUUCUUCCAUAUUCCAGAGAAUGAUUAGUAUAAAAUAUUCAUAACAUACUCUUUAUAAAAAGAGCUAGUAUAAUAUUUCAUUCUUGAAAGUUAUUUUUCUCAUUUGUUUCUCUCUGAAAGAUACAGCCAGGGGGAAAUGUAAAUCUGCAGCCCUCAUUAUUUCUGAAGAAGCAAUAUUUUUACAUCUUGAUCUGACAUUACUUAUUGUUCUGAGGUCAGCAUAGCAUAAAGUUUCCAUGUGUAAUCUCUAGAGUAAACCUAUCUUGGCUUAAAUUAUGUUUCUAUUUUUUACUAGCUAUACAACUUUGGAAAAUUCCUCAUUCUUUCUGGGUCUCAGUUUCUUUAUUAAUAUGACAUCCAUAAAGAUAAUACACUUUUGUAGGAAUUAUUGGGGCAGUACAUGAUCUA